rnacentral:rRNA from 1 species
UACAGAGGGUGCGAGCGUUGUUCGGAAUUAUUGGGCGUAAAGGGCGCGUAGGCGGUGCGGUAAGUCACCUGUGAAAUCUCCUGGCUCAACUGGGAGCUUGCAGGCGAAACUGCCGUGCUGGAGUGUGGGAGAGGUGCGUGGAAUUCCCGGUGUAGCGGUGAAAUGCGUAGAUAUCAGGAGGAACACCUGUGGUGUAGACGGCUUACUGGACUAUAACUGACGCUGAGGAACGAAAGCGUGGGUAGCAAACAGG